GGAAAGUUUUAAGUUCCUUGGCGUACACAUCACGGACAAUCUGAAAUGGUCCACCCACACAGACAGCGUGGUGAAGAAGGCGCAACAGCGCCUCUUCAAUCUCAGGAGGCUGAAGAAAUUUGGCAUGUCACCAAAAACACUCACAAACUUUUACAGAUGCACAAUUGAGAGCAUCCUGUCGGGCUGUAUCACUGCCUGAUACGGCAACUGCUCCGCCCACAACCGUAAGGCUCUCCAGAUGGUAGUGAGGUUUGCACAACACAUCACUGGGGGCAAACUACAACCACCCGACACCACAUCCAGGACACCUACACCACCCGAUGUCACAGGAAGGCCAAAAAGAUCAUCAAGGACAACAACCACCCGAGCCACUGCCUGUUCACCUCGCUAUCAUCCAGAAGAGAGAGACCGAGAGAGACCGAGAGAGACCGAGAGAGACCGAACGAAAAGACCGACAGAAACCGAGAGAGCCCGAGAGAGACCUGAGAGAGACCGAAAGAGACAGAGAACAAGGGAAGGAACACUAUAGGAUUACAUAUUGAACUACACUGAUUUCUGUGACGGACACACCUGAAAAACCUGGUGUGUUUUCUAGGUGACAGUGUCCAUGAUGUCCCUGGCACAUUUCAUAUGAAUACAGCACAUGAAUACUGAAAGGCCUUUAUUGAACACUGAAUUCCAUACCCUGAUCUGGUUGUAAUAAGAAUGACGUCCAGAGUCUGCUGGGGUGAGAAUGGCUACGUCAGGGGCAUCAUGGACACUGUCACCUAGACAACACACCUAUGUUGUCCUUCCCUUGUUUUCUGUCUGUCUCGCUGUUUCUCUGUUCGUCCGUCCGUCUGUCCCUCUCCCCUUCCUCCACAUCUGUCCCAGAGUCUGGGAUAGGCUGUUUUUCUCGCACAGAAUUACAAGCUGACCAAUAGAAGAGUCAAACAUUUCUACUAUGGGAGAUAGUAGAUAGACAUUGGUUAGUGAUUUUGCUGUUCGUUACUCGUCUUGUUGGCUGAGGAAAAGUAAAUGUGGACAGUUAUUCUAACAUGUUCAAAGUGUACCUCAGAAUUCGGUAAGAAGGACCGCACGUCACUGCAUCCUCGACUUGCAAGUUCUGUUCAGAUGAAUGACCAUAAUGUAAAUAUGAUUUCUGUCAUUCUGAGCACCGGGGUGGAGGCCCUAAUCACAUUACACACCCAAUGUAUGUGGGUCCGAUAAAUCUCUCAAAUGUCCGGUAAAUUAAAAUGCUGACAGUCAAAUGUCCAGCACCACAUUUUCCUAACCAAAACCCUGGUAAGUGUGUGUGUGUAUGUGUGUGUGUGUGCGCGUGUGCAUGCACAAGUGUGUAGUCCUAUCUUAUGUGAUUUAGAGAUACAUUGAGGACAUGAAAAGGUUGCAGUGGGGUCAGAUCCAUGUUCAGAUGUAUAGAUAACACAAUGUAGAUAGAUGUAUUCAGUAGUCCAAUACAGGCAUGAAUCAGCCUGUUCAUGUAUUAAACGUAUGUCUCUCUCUCUCUCUCUCUCUCGCUCUCUCUCUCUCUCUCUCUCUCUCUCUCUCUCUCACACACACACACACACACACACACACACACACACACACACACACACACACACACACACACACACACACACACACACACACACACACACAGAAGGCUGCGUGGCUAUACAUCUUCAUAAAGUGUACAUGGAAAUGCAUGGAAGGGUCGUCUUAUGAAUGUGUUGUUCAGUAUUCAUGGUAAUGGAGAUGGAGAGGGUCACACAGAGCGCCCCCCAUGUCUAACAGACACACUCACACACACACACACACACACACACGCACUCACACGCGCACGCACGCACGCACGCACGCACGCACUCACUCACUCACUCACACACACACACACACACACACACACACACACACUCACACUCACACUCACACUCACACUACAGUAUCCCAUUUUCAAUAUAACCCUUUUCCUUAUCGCAUGUUUAUGCAUCACAAUGCUUUUCCCCUCUAUAAUUUGGUUUUGGAGGCUCAGGCAUUUCGGCAGCAGGUAGCUAGUAGGAUUAAAGGAAGAUGAAACCCCAUGCGGCGUGGUGAGUUGAGGGACAUUCCAAUCUCCUUGUGUCCAGACAGGGAUGAGCAGAGGUGUGCGUGCGGGGCUCAGGGUAAAGAGGGGAUUGGGUGUUAGUUGUAGCCCUCUGAACAGCCUCACCAGCUGCCACUGCCAAUGUGUGAGGGAGCGUACCACAUGCGUCUGGACCCUCCUUUUCUAUCCUUCCCACCCCCCUCUUUUUUGUUGUUGUUGAGGUGGGCCCACAUCCUCCAGUCCGUUGCAUGUAUGCAUGUAUUAGCUCUCUACCUUGAAGUGCAGACGAGCGACCUUCAGACGCUCUCCAGUAACCAUGGCAGCGCACGAAUAGCAGGGCAAAUUAGCAUUUGCGUUCGCUAGCGCGCCGUCUUCAACAAAGCCCAUCGAUUUUGUCUCUGGGAUUUAUUCAGAAGAGCCUGCAUUAGUGAGGCUUCUCUUCACUUAACUAAGAUGGGUUUUUAAAAUUAAUUCAGUUGCAAAGAGAUUGGGAGGGAUGAUCGGUUGAUGAAAGAGAGAGAAAGAAAGAGGGAGAGAGAGAGAGAGAGAGAGAAAGAUGAGAGAGAGAGGCAAACAGAAAUAAAUAGAGAAAGAGAGAAAGAGAGAAAUAGACAACUAGAGAAAGUCAGAAAGACAGAAAGAAAGAUUGAGAGAAGGGGACCUGUCCUCCGAGUUCUAUCUCUGUCUUGUUGUUUCAGGAGAACUUGAAGGGGCUUCAAUAGAAUAAGGUAUUUUGGUCUAUUGACUGGUAUUGUGGAGGGACCCAUUUAAUCCUUUAGAGGGUGUUGAAGCAUAAGAGAAGGCUGAUGACGGGGUCCAGAAGGGUGAUGACGGGGUCCAGAAGGGUGAUGACGGGGUCCAGAAGGCUGAUGACGGGGUCCAGAAGGGUGAUGACGGGGUCCAGAAGGGUGAUGACGGGCUCCAGAAGGGUGAUGACGGGCUCCAGAAGGGUGAUGACGGGGUCCAGAAGGGUGAUGACGGGGUCUAGAAGGGUGAUGACGGGGUCCAGAAGGGUGAUAACGGGCUCCAGAAGGGUGAUGACGGGGUCCAGAAGGGUGAUGACGGGGUCCAGAAGGGUGAUGACGGGGUCUAGAAGGGUGAUAACGGGCUCCAGAAGGGUGAUGACGGGCUCCAGAAGGGUGAUGACGGGGUCUAGAAGGGUGAUAACGGGCUCCAGAAGGGUGAUGACGGGGUCUAGAAGGAUGAUGACUGGGUCUAGAAGGGUGAUAACGGGCUCCAGAAGGGUGAUGACGGGGUCUAGAAGGGUGAUGACGGGGUCUAGAAGGGUGAUAACGGGCUCCAGAAGGGUGAUGACGGGGUCCAGAAGGGUGAUGACGGGGUCUAGAAGGGUGAUGACGGGGUCUAGAAGGGUGAUAACGGGUGAUAACGUGCUCCAGAAGGGUGAUGACGGGGUCCAGAAGGGUGAUGACGGGGUCUAGAAGGGUGAUAACGGGCUCCAGAAGGGUGAUGACGGGGUCUAGAAGGGUGAUGACGGGGUCCAGAAGGGUGAUGACGGGUGAUGACGGGCUCCAGAAGGGUGAUGACGGGGUCUAGAAGGGUGAUGACGGGGUCCAGAAGGGUGAUGACGGGUGAUGACGGGGUCUAGAAGGGUGAUGACGGGCUCCAGAAGGGUGAUAACGGGCUCCAGAAGGGUGAUGACGGGGUCCAGAAGGGUGAUAACGGGCUCCAGAAGGGUGAUGACGGGGUCCAGAAGGGUGAUGACGGGGUCCAGAAGGGUGAUGACGGGGUCUAGAAGGGUGAUAACGGGCUCCAGAAGGGUGAUGACGGGCUCCAGAAGGGUGAUGACGGGGUCUAGAAGGGUGAUAACGGGCUCCAGAAGGGUGAUGACGGGGUCUAGAAGGGUGAUGACUGGGUCUAGAAGGGUGAUAACGGGCUCCAGAAGGGUGAUGACGGGGUCUAGAAGGGUGAUGACGGGGUCUAGAAGGGUGAUAACGGGCUCCAGAAGGGUGAUGACGGGGUCCAGAAGGGUGAUGACGGGGUCUAGAAGGGUGAUGACGGGGUCUAGAAGGGUGAUAACGGGUGAUAACGGGCUCCAGAAGGGUGAUGACGGGGUCCAGAAGGGUGAUGACGGGGUCUAGAAGGGUGAUAACGGGCUCCAGAAGGGUGAUGACGGGGUCUAGAAGGGUGAUGACGGGGUCCAGAAGGGUGAUGACGGGUGAUGACGGGCUCCAGAAGGGUGAUGACGGGGUCUAGAAGGGUGAUGACGGGGUCCAGAAGGGUGAUGACGGGUGAUGACGGGGUCUAGAAGGGUGAUGACGGGCUCCAGAAGGGUGAUAACGGGCUCCAGAAGGGUGAUGACGGAGUCUAGAAGGGUGAUGACGGGCUCCAGAAGGGUGAUGACGGGGUCUAGAAGGGUGAUGACGGGCUCCAGAAGGGUGAUAACGGGCUCCAGAAGGGUGAUAACGGGCUCCAGAAGGGUGAUGACGGGGUCCAGAAGGGUGAUGACGGGGUCCAGAAGGGUGAUAACGGGCUCCAGAAGGGUGAUGACGGGGUCCAGAAGGGUGAUGACGGGCUCCAGAAGGGUGAUAACGGGCUCCAGAAGGGUGAUAACGGGCUCCAGAAGGGUGAUAACGGGCUCCAGAAGGGUGAUGACGGGGUCCAGAAGGGUGAUAACGGGCUCCAGAAGGGUGAUAACGGGCUCCAGAAGGGUGAUGACGGGGUCUAGAAGGGUGAUAACGGGCUCCAGAAGGGUGAUGACGGGGUCUAGAAGGGUGAUGACGGGGUCUAGAAGGGUGAUGACAGGGUCUACAAGGGUGAUAACGGGGUCAGAAGGGUGAUGACGGGCUCCAGGGUCAGUCUGUUAUAUCUAGUGUAAUUCUACUGUCUUAUCUGGUGUCCUGUGUGAAUUUAAGUAUGCUCCCUCUAAUUCUCUCUCUCUCCCUUUCUCCCACCCCGCCCGGAAGACCUGAGCCCU
rnacentral:lncRNA from 1 species